rnacentral:misc_RNA from 1 species
UAUCGCCUGCUGCAGUUGCGCCUGUAGAGAUGCCGCCGUAGCCUCUUGUGCCCUGGCUUUCGCCUGCCAAACCUGCGCCUCCACACUGAGUUGGGCAGCACGUGCCUCUAAUUCGGCGUUUCGUCGAGUGGCCUUUUCGACUUCUGCUUCUUUCUCCUUCAGUCGUCUGGCUAUUGAUUCCUCCACCGUGCUCAGCAGAGCACGAUAGUGCCUCUGCUUCUUCUCGGCUAAUGUGCGCCUCAACUGCUCUCCCUGGGCUUGAAUGAAUUGGUCUAUCUCGUCUCUUUGGCGUUUAAUUUCGGUGGCAAAAUCUUCUGAUAACAAGGAUAAGAAAGGAGAGGAUUGGGAUACAAAACUCUGAUGUUGCUGGCUCUGAUAAUGGUGAUUUUGUUGUAUUUGUUGCUGCUGUUGCUGUUGGUCGCCGCCAAAGGAUAACUUUAGGCCGGUGGAGACAACAUUUGGUUGAGAGGGGUGGUGUUGGUGGUGGUGGUUAUGGAGUUGAGAGAGUUCUAUUAACUGAGGAGCUUGAGAUUGCAUAAAGAAUGGAUUGAUUGUUGGCCCUGUUGUGAUGCCACCGGUGGUGGUGGUUGUAAUUGCUACCGUUGCCGCUGCUGCUGACCCUUCUCUUCCUCUCUUGCGUGGAUUAUUAGCCCCUCCAUUGGUGAAUAGCAUAUGGGAUUGAUCAAGAAAUCCUCCUGGUUGGGGUUGCAAUGAGUAAUCAUGACCCUCUUGCCCGUUUCUGUUUAGAAGGAGGAUAUUUGAAGGGUAUUGAGCUUGCACAGCCAUUGAUCGAUAUAUGGAAGGAUUGAGAGAAACAGAGAGACAGAGAGAUAGAAAAAUGAAACUUCGGUGCGUAUGUUUAUUGGGGUAAGGAGAACAAAUAAGGGGGAAGGAAGGAAGGAAGGAAAGGGAAUGGUAAAUGAAGUUAUGGAGCAAUGUGAAAGGCAGCAAUAACGCUAACACAUAAGAAGCAUGAAAAGUUGAUGCCCCCCAAGCCAAGGCGGACUCUUCAAUGACAGGUAAAAGAAUGAGAUAGACAGCUACUUCUUACUCCCAAACUAUUCUUCUCCUCUUCUCCUAAUUAUUCUUAUAAAUAUAAAGAAAAAAAAUAAGAGAGAGAAUUUAAAGAAAGAGAAUCAAAGGAAUGGAAUUAUGUCUAUUGAAAGGCCACCACAAACAAAUCCAACACUAAUGCUACCACCACCACCAUAACACUUCUUCUCAUCACCCACUUUCCUUUCCUAUAUAUAUGCUUUUGCUUUGCUGUUGUUUGUAUGUUUGCAUUAUAUAUAUGGGGAGGGGAAAGCGAAGAGAGAGGAUAUUAGGGAAUAGGAGUCGAAGGAGAGAGAGAUGCGAUUAAAACGAAUCAGUACAAGAGAGAGACACCUUAUUCUGCUCUUUCUUUCUUUGUUGUUGGCCUUUGCUUUUCUCAACUCUUCUCCUUCUCGUGGGGGUUGGCUUUUCUUAAGGAGGAGUCUCGUGUUUGUUAUCAUCAACACCAAUACUCGUACUGCAUUUUUAUUAUUUUUUAUAAUAAUAUAAUUAAAUAUUUUCCUUUUUUUAAAUAAUUAAAAAAAUAAAAGACAGAGAAAAUCAAUGGAUUUCUGAUGUGCAGUAGUUGUAAGCGGUGGAGACGGGUGGGAAGGUGUGCAGCCCUCCCUCAGCCUCUGGGUUUGUUUGUAUUAUGGGCCCAUAUGAACCUCUCUCGCCAGCUUUUUCUUUUUUAACUUAUUUAUAUAUUAUUUUUAGAAAUUAUAUUAAUUUUAGAAAAAGAAAUUAAUUUUAAGAUUAUUUGGGAAUAUAUUGUCUUUUUUAUUUUUUUAACAAUGGGAACCCUUCAAGUGAAAGUAAUAAAAUUAAACUACUGCUUCAAUUGUCCACCCAUUGCUCAGUUGUCAAUCUCAUCAUUCU